rnacentral:rRNA from 1 species
GACGAACGCUGGCGGCGUGCUUAACACAUGCAAGUCGAACGGAAAGGCCCUGCUUUUGUGGGGUGCUCGAGUGGCGAACGGGUGAGUAACACGUGAGUAACCUGCCCUUGACUUUGGGAUAACUUCAGGAAACUGGGGCUAAUACCGGAUAGGAGCUCCUGCUGCAUGGUGGGGGUUGGAAAGUUUCGGCGGUUGGGGAUGGACUCGGGGCUUAACAGCUUGUUGGUGGGGUAGUGGCUUACCAAGGCUUUGACGGGUAGCCGGCCUGGGAGGGUGACCGGCCACAUUGGGACUGAGAUACGGACCAGACGCCUACGGGAGGCAGCAGUGGGGAAUAUUGCACAAUGGGCGGAAGCCUGAUGCAGCAACGCCGCGUGCGGGAUGACGGCCUUCGGGUUGUAAACCGCUUUCGCCUGUGACGAAGCGUGAGUGACGGUAAUGGGUAAAGAAGCACCGGCUAACUACGUG